rnacentral:rRNA from 1 species
UUUGACGUUACCUACAGAAGAAGCACCGGCUAACUCCGUGCCAGCAGCCGCGGUAAUACGGAGGGUGCGAGCGUUAAUCGGAAUUACUGGGCGUAAAGCGCAUGCAGGCGGCCUGUUAAGUCAGAUGUGAAAGCCCGGGCGUUAACCUCGGAAUUGCAUUUGAAACUGGCAGGCUAGAGUCUUGUAGAGGGGGUAGGAAUUUCAGGUGUAGCGGUGAAAUAGCGUAGAGAUCUGAAGGAAUACCAGUGGCGAAGGCGGCCCCCUCGGACAAAGACUGACGCUCAGAUGCGAAAGCGUGGGGAGCAAACAGGAUUAGAUACCCUGGUAG